UUGGUUCUGAUGAAAAGGGAAACAGGUGCGAAUCCUGUACGAACUCGUCACUGUGAUAAGGGAGUUUCGGCAAUUUAUGUCACUGAGCAAAUCGGGAAGGCUUGCCGCAAAUGAUGAUCUUUCAGCCAGGAGACCUGCCUUGGAUGAAG
rnacentral:ncRNA from 1 species